rnacentral:rRNA from 1 species
CUCGUAGGUGACCUGCGGAGGAUCAUUG